GCCUCGGUAGCUCAGCGGUAGAGCAGGGNNUAAGCCCUUGGUCGCAAGUUCGAUUCUUGCCCGAGGCA
rnacentral:tRNA from 1 species